rnacentral:tRNA from 1 species
UCCCUCUACCCCCAAAAYUAGAAUUUUUUAUUGACAUAAACUGGAAGUUU